UCACAUUUUUUCCUAUGUCCCAUUCAUUUCUUUUGGUGGUAAUUUUUGACCGUGAAGACCACAAGUGCAACUUUAUUACGACCAUUUAACCUUUGAUUUAUGCCCUCAAUUUUUUAGUGUGUUUACAUAUCAAAUGCCAUAAAAGUCACCAAGUUUCAUACAGUUCAGAUGAAGCCAUGAUUUUAAAAAUUUCAAGAUGUCUAAUUUUUAUAAUUAAUUUUCUUUCCUAAGGAUUCAAUGGACACAGAAAACAGCCGCAGCUAGAAGAGAUAAAGGGUACGAGGAGGACCUCAGAUUUACGUUUUUUCCGUCCCGGUCUCAGUUAAAGCAGUUAGAUGCCGUUACAUCAGCUAUUGUGGUGUUUUAUGCACUUGCAGCAAUUCAAUUAUUUGUUUGUGCGAGUCAGCUGUGCAGCGAGUGAUGAUUCACAUAAAUUCAGCCGUGAAUCCCAGAGGAACUCCGACUGUUUCUCUUUGAGCGAUGUUCUUCUAGGGAAUGAUGGUGUCACAGAGUGUUGAGGAAAUGUUUUGAUAAAUGUGAUGCGAUAAAACCAUCGACUGCCAAAAUGCCAAGGAGGUGUAAGACAAGAAAAGACACACGUGCGGGAGAAGCCGCGUUGAGGUCAGAGGAAGGCAGAUUUCAUCAUCGCAGACACGAACACCUGUGGAACUUCAGGUCGGUUACUGAUCAACAAGAUUCUCGAUACACACACAUCGUAUCAGCAGAUCAGGACAGGUGAUCUGCACACACUGACCAGCUCACCUUUGUCACCUGUCGGCUGAAAUUUCCACAGCGCAUUUGAGGGACAAAAGCAGCGCUGAGGGCUGUAGUGGAGGCUCUUCAUUUGGCCGUAAUCAGGAGAGAGUGUGCAGAGAUGAAAGAUCAUCAGGGAGAACACACAUUUACAAAUGAACACCAUUACUCUCUUCACAUUCAAUAAUCUCACAGCUUACCACGUAAUUACGCCUAUGAAGAGCUGAACUUUCCAUGUUUCCGCUACAAAGUUCAUCAUGCUAAUGAGGAGAGUUUCAUCUCAGUAAUGCAUGACGUCUGAUGAGCGGCCGAUCCAGAGCUGUUCACCGGGACUAAACCAGCAGAAACCUGAUCCACCGGUCCUCUGCUCUGAACGAAGCCCGUUGACUGACGUGCCGGGAAUAAUACAUGACAGGUAACUGGUACACAAUGUAAAACUUUGCCCAGCCAUAAUUAGCUGCUUUAUUUGAAGUUAAGAUCUAAGCUGCCUGAAAAUUGUAACUUCCAUAAAAGCUCUCACGUCAUGUUUGUGUAUGUUUACAAAUGCUGCUGAUGAUCGAUGCCUCAUAUCAGAUUUGAUGUCAAUAAUGCAAAACAUCACUGGCGGCCGUGUGUGUCAAAACCAACUGUGGCACACCAAACUUAAAUAUAUUAAAAACAAUUUAGAUUUGAGAGCUGCAGUGGUCAGUAUUAUUCAUACACUAGUGUGGUAUUUAUUCAUAUUUUAAUGAAGUUAUAUUCUUUCUCAUUUUAUUUUUAGUUUAAGUUUUAUUAAAUUGUAUGUAUUGCUUAAUUAUUGUCUUCUUUUAAAUAUUUUUAUUUAGCUUUCAUUUAUUUUUAUUUCAGUUUUACAUUUUA